ACCGUAAAAGUGAAGAAAUCUUGGUUUUAGUUUUUGAGAAAUUAGUUGGAGAUAAGUUUGUAAUUUGAGGGUAAAAUCUUAAGUUAUUGUCUUUUCCUAAGAUAGAUCUUUGGAAAUUCAAGGAUGAAACUAGGAUUAGAUACCCUAUUAUUAUUGAAAGUAUAAAAAUUAGGUAGUAAUGGAAGGCUUGAAACUUAAAGAAUUUGGCGGUAUUUUAAUCUUACCAGAGGAACUUGUAUUUUAAUUCGAAAUUACUCGGUAAAUCUUACUUAGAUUUUAGUUUGUAUAUCGUCGUAAAAAUAAAACUUUAAAGUGUAUAUUGGAAAUUAUUUGAUGAAAGAUUACAGAUCAAGGUUCAGCAUAUCUAAGAAAAUAUGAGUUACAAUGUUAGGAAGCAAACGGAUAAUCUUUUUGA
rnacentral:rRNA from 1 species